rnacentral:lncRNA from 1 species
AGUGAUAAGUGGUAGCUUUAGCUACAUUUAUCUGAUCAGUGACAAGUGAUAAGUGAUAAGUGGUAGUUUUAGCUACACUUAUCUGAUCAGUAACAAGUGAUAAAUGUGAUCAGUGUAAGACCGUGGCAGGACUAUGACUUCAAAAUGUGAUAAGUGAUCAUAUACAAUACCAUAGUUAUACUAUGGAAAAGUGAAAGUGAAGUACUCAAUUUUCCGUAACCAUUCCCUAAUUUGGUAAAAGAAUGAUAUGUGACAAAUGGGCCCAAAAGGAUUAAAGAAAAUGGAUAAGUAGUAGUAAGUUUAUACAAGGGAACUCACCAAUGGCUGUGGUUGACAGGUGAACUUAAUAAUUGUGUAUAUUGUAUAAGUGUAUAAAUAUUUGGUAAGAUUUAUGUUUUAUGCCUAUGAACUUACUAAGCUUCUAUAAGCUUACAUGAGUGUAAUCAAUGUCUCUUGUAGAUUGACGUGGAAGUAUAAGGAGGAUCGGAUCAACACAGAGGAUCACACUAUCCAGAUUAUCUCCGGUAGCUUUUGUAAAUUUCUUUUUGAUUUAUAUGGCAUGUAUAAGGUUUGAUGAUUAUAUAAAUACUAAGACUUGUUUAAGAAAUAUACAUUAAAGUAAAGAAUGAUGAAUAUGUUAAAUAGUAUAAUUAUAAUAGUAGUAUAAUUUGGUAUCAAAUUGAUUGAAAUGAAUUGGUUGGUUGGAUUGGUCUCGGUUUUAAAAUUUGCAGGGAAGGUUAGAUAUUUAUAAAGGGAUUAUAUUGAGCAAAAAAAUAAAAAAAUAAAAAAAAAUAAAACUUUAGGAUUUUACGAAAAAUUCCCUAUGGUUUCGAUUUAAUUCUGGUUUGGUCUCGAAGUAUGUUUUGGGCUUUGGAGGGCCCAUCUAAAGGACGCCAUGACAUGUUUUAGUAAAUGAAUAGUAUUUAACUCGUAUUAAUGGAAAAUUAAUUCGGUAAACUCCGGUAAUGCCUCCUACCCUAUUCCGGCGACGAAUACGGGUAAGGGGUGUUACAUUUAGUAGUAUCAGAGCCCGGUUUAGCCGGUUCUCGGAACAUGUGUUACAUGUAAAGUGUUUAGAAAUACAUGCCAUAUAAAUCUGUGAUAGUGUGAUGUGUAUGAUCCGAUCUAAUCUUUGUCAUUUUUAUAGAUAUUCUUCGAUUAUAAAGAUGUCAGAUAGAUCUGAACGUACUGAACAGGAGAAAGUUAACAGUAGAGUGCAGACUUCUGAACAAGGAACAAGUAGUGAUAUUCCAAUUUCUAUGAUGCGAGAACGAGAACUUAAAAAUAUGAUUUAUGGAGUUAUGAAUCAGUGGUAUAAGGAGAUGAUACAAGAAAGAAGUCCGGCUCAACCACCUCCUCCCCCUACUGCACCACUUGUGGUACCUCCGGUUGCUCCUCCACCUCCUUCAAUAAUUGAAACUAGUAAACGUUCUCCGAUUGAAAAGCUUAGGAAGUUUGGAGCAGAGAAAUUUCGAGGGAGAUCAGAUGAUGACCCUGUAAAAGCUGAGUAUUGGCUACAGAGUUUGGUAAGAAUUUUUAAACAGAUGGCUUGUUCUCCGGAGGAUUAUCUAUGAUGUGCUAUCUCAUUGUUAAAGGAAGAAGCAUAUAACUGGUGGGAAACUGUAGAAGUUGUAGUACCUGCAGAAAAACUUACUUGGGAAUUUUUCCAGAACGAGUUUAAAAAGAAAUAUGUGGGGAAAAGAUAUCUAGACAAGAAAAAGAGAGAAUUUCUUGAUCUAUGGCAGGGAAAUAAGUCAGUGGCUGAAUACGAAAGAGAAUUUGUCUACCUCAACAAAUAUGCUCGAGACAUUGUACCUACUGAAGAAGAAAUGUGUACCAGAUUUGAAGAAGGGUUAAAUGAUGAGAUUAGAAUGAUGAUUGGGGGUAAUGAAAUACGGGAGUUCGUUGUUCUGUCAGACCGUGCUCAAAAGCUCGAAGAAGUAUAUAAUAGAAAAAUGCAACGAGAUCGGAAAAAUAAAGUCAUUUAAAAGAGGUGCUUCUAAGUCAUUUUCAGAUUUGCCGGUAAAGAAAUCUAGAGAAGAAAUUAGUCAAACUACAUCCGUGCCGAGAAGAUUGGGUAGAGCUAGAUCAAGCAAUUUGAUUUCAGGGUAUUUGAUAGACCAGCAGCAAGUGUGAGCAGUGUUCAGAAUACUCUCCGGCUUAAGUGUCAAUAUUGUGGAAGACAUCAUUUCGGUGAAUGCAAGACUAAGAUGGGGGCUUGUUAUAAAUGUGGGGCUACUGAUCAUCUUAUUCGAUAUUGUCCCCAGCUACAAAAAGAUGAAGUGGAUCAGAAAAAGAUACAGAGAACCACUCCCCAAAUAAGUAGAGGUUCGGGCCAGAGCAGUGCUACAGAGGCUACCCGUUCGGGUAUGAGAGAACCAGUUAGUCAAUCAGAUAAUAGAGCACCAGCACGUACCUAUGUUAUUCGAGUAAGGGAAGAGGCUACGGCUCCUGAUGUAAUUGCUGGUAUUUUCUAUUUUUAUGAUGUUACUGUUUAUGCAUUAAUGGACCCUGGGUCUACUCAUUCAUAUAUUUGCAAUAUGCUAGCAUCUGAAAAGAAAUUAUCUGUUGAGUCCACUAAUUAUGAUAUACAAGUCACUAAUCCAUUAGGUCAAAGUGUGAUGGUUAAUUUAAUAUGUCGUAAUUGUCCACUGAAAGUGAAAGGCUGUGAAUUCCCUGCUGAUUUGAUGUUGUUACCCUUUCGGGAAUUUGAUAUUAUUCUGAGGAUGGAUUGGUUAACAAAACAUGACACUGUAGUGAACUGUCGAGAGAAAUGGAUUGAUUUGAAAAAUCAGACAGAAGAAAUGAUUUCGACUGAGUUUGGAAAUAUGAAAGAUAAUGUCCGAAUUAUUUCAACCUUUUCAGCUCAAAAGCUAAUACGGAAGGGUAAUGAAGCAUAUUUAGCUUAUAUUCUUGAUACUCGAGAUUUUGAAUCAAAAUUGAAACAGUUGCCAGUUGUUAAUGAAUUUGCUAAUGUGUUUCCUGAGGAAUUGCUGGGUUUACCACCAGAUCGCGAAGUUGAGCUUGUGAAUGAUGUGAUUCUAAGAACAGCUCCAAUAUCUGUAACACCAUACAGAAUGGCACCGACUGAAUUAAAAGAGUUAAAGACUCAGUUGCAAGAAUUGUUAGAUAAGGGGUUUAUUAGACCAAGUACAUCUCCUUGGGGUGCACCUGUUUUGUUUGUGAAAAAGAAAAAUGGUUCGUUGAGAUUGUGUAUAGAUUACAGACAAUUAAAUAAGGUUACAAUCAAGAACAAAUAUCCUUUGCCCCGCAUUGAUGGUUUGUUCGAUCAAUUGAAAGGUGCUGCUGUGUUUUCAAAAAUAGAUAUUCGAUCUGGGUAUUAUCAGCUGAAAGUUAAAUAAUGUGACGUACCAAAAACUGCCUUCAGAACUCGGUAUGGUCAUUAUGAGUUUCUGGUAAUGCCAUUUGGUUUAACUAAUGCCCCUGCUGCAUUUAUAGACUUGAUGAAUCGGAUUUUUCAACCUUAUUUGGAUAGAUUCGUGGUUGUAUUUAUUGAUGAUAUAUUGAUCUAUUUGAAGACCGAGUCUGAUCAUGCACAACACUUGAGAAGUGUGUUACAGACUUUGAGAGAGAAGCAGUUGUAUGCAAAGUUCAGCAAGUGUGAAUUUUGGCUACAUGAGGUUGGAUUUCUAGGUCAUAUUGUUUCAGCUGAAGGAAUUCGAGUAGAUCCAAGUAAAGUGUCAGCAGUGGUAAAUUGGAAAACUCCAAAGAACGUAACAGAAGUGCGAAGUUUCCUGGGAUUAGCGAGAUACUACCGCCGAUUUGUUAAAAUUUUUUCAAUGAUUGCCUUACCGAUGACUCGACUACUUUAGAAGAAUGUUGAAUUUGUAUGGUCUGAAGAGUGCCAACAAAGUUUUGACCAGUUGAAGAAGAUGUUGACAGAAGCUCCAAUGUUAACUCAGCCAGAAUCAGGUAUACCAUAUGUUGUGUAUAGUGAUGCAUCUUUAAAUGGUUUGGGUUGUGUUUUAAUGCAAUCAGGGAAAGUAGUGGCAUAUGCUUCUCAACAAUUAAAACCGCACGAGAAAAAUUACCCUACCCAUGAUUUAGAGUUGGCCGCAAUUGUGUUUGCUUUAAAAAUCUGGAGACAUUAUUUAUAUGGGGAAAAAUGUUAUGUGUAUACCGAUCACAAAAGUCUGAAAUAUUUGAUGACACAAAAAGAGCUGAACUUGAGACAGAGACGGUGGCUCGAACUAUUGAAAGAUUAUGAUCUUGUUAUUGAUUAUCACCCGGGGAAAGCUAAUGUAGUCGCUGAUGCACUUAGUCGAAAAUCAUCAUUGUUUGCACUUCGAGCAAUGAAUGUUCAUUUGUCUGUUAAUGAAGAUGGCUCAGUAUUAGCAGAAUUGAAAGCAAAAUCUACAUUCCUUCAAUGGAUCCGUGAAUUACAGAGUGAUGAUCCGAAACUAGUACUGAAACGACAAACAGUUCAAGAUAAUUUGAGUUCGGAAUAUAGCAUUGAUGAUGGUGGUAUGUUGCGUUAUCGUAAUAGAAUUUGUGUUCCGAAUAAUCCAGAAUUGAAAAUUGAUAUUCUUGUUGAAGCUCAUAAUAGUAAGUAGUCUAUUCAUCCGGGUAGUACAAAAAUGUAUUGCGAUUUAAAAAGAAUGUACUGGUGGCCUGGUAUGAAGCGAGAGAUUUGUGAAUUUGUUGCAAAAUGUUUAAUCUGUCAGCAGGUGAAAGCAGAGCAUCAAGUACCAACGGGUUUAUUACAACCUAUUAUGAUUCCUGAAUGAAAGUGGGAACACAUUACGAUGGAUUUUGUAUCAGGAUUGCCUGUGACUUCAAAAAAGAAAGAUUCAAUCUGGGUUAUCGUUGAUAGAUUGACAAAGUUGACACAUUUUAUUCCAGUCAAAUCAAAUUUUUCAUUGGAGAAGUUAGCAGAAUUGUAUAUUUCUGAGAUUGUGAGAUUACAUGGAGUUCCAAUAUCUAUUAUUUCGGAUCGAGAUUCGAGAUUUACUUCGAGAUUUUGGAAUAAAUUACAGGAGGCUUUGGGCACUAAAUUAAAUUUCAGCACAGCUUUUCAUCCUCAGACAGACGGGCAGUCAGACCGAGUGAUUCAGAUUUUAGAAGAUAUGUUAAAGUGUUGUGUACUUGAGUUUGGUGGCAGCUGGGAAAGGUAUUUACCUUUAGUCGAAUUUGCUUAUAAUAAUAGUUAUCAAACUAGUAUUAAAAUGGCACCAUUUGAAGCUCUAUAUGGAAGAAAGUGUAGAAAUCCAUUAUAUUGGUCUGAAUUAAGUGAACGAAAACUAAUGGGAGUGGACUUGAUUCGGGAAACCUAAGAAAAAGUUCGUAUUAUUCGAGAUUGUUUAAAAGCUGCCUCCGAUCGGUAAAAAUCAUAUGCAAAUUUAAAGAGAAGAGAUAUAGAGUUUAAUGUGGUUCGGUAGAAAGGGAAAACUCAGCCCCCGAUUUAUCGGGCCGUAUGAAAUCAUUGGAAGAAUCGGUCUGUGGCUUUGCCCCCGGAGCUUGAAAAGAUUCAUAACGUGUUUCAUGUGUCUAUGUUGAGACGGUACAGAUCAGAUCCAUCACAUGUAAUCCCUCAUACAGAAAUAGAGCUCCAACCUGACAUGACUUAUUCAGAAGAACCGGUGAAAAUUCUAGCUUGGGAAAUUAAAGAGUUAAGGAACAAACGGGUACCGUUAGUAAAAGUGUUGUGGCAUUGACAUGGUGUGGAGGAGGCAACCUGGGAAACAGAGGAAUCAAUGAGAUCACAAUAUCCGAACCUAUUUUCAGGUAACAAAUUUCGAGGACGAAAUUUCUUAAGAGGGGGAGAAUUGUAAUAGCCUAAAUUUUCAGUGGUGUCGGAACAGUGAUUCGAGAUCAUUAAAUCCGACAAAUGAGUAGAAAAUAUUAAUAAUUUAGUUAAUAUAAGUUAAGUGUGAAGUUAGAAAAUUUUUUGAAAUAGCGAAUAGUGUACUAGAAAUUAAAAUUUUAAAAAUUAGAAUCAGAAAUGAGAUAUCGAGAGUUUGAAAAUUUAAAAACGAGCCAUAAAUAUUUUUAUAAAUAUUUAUGGAGUGUUAAUAAGUUAUAAUUAAAGUUUCGUUAAGAAAUUUUAAAGUUUCGAUAGUUAAUUGAAUAAAAAGGAUUAAAUUGUAACAAAUGUAAAAUUAUGAAAAAUGAUUAAAUAGCUUAAAUGAUAAAAGAAAGAGGAUUUAAAAGGCAAAUAGACCCAAGUUCUAUUUGGGCUAGACGGCAAGGUGCAUGAAAUCAGCAGGAAAAUUGAUGAAUUAAUGGCAAAAUUGGAAUAUUGCAAAAUUUACUUAAUAAACUAGGACUAAAGUGGAAUUAUCUAGAAUUCUCAUUAUUUUUCUGCAUUCUCAUCAGAAAAAAAACACCAUAGAAGGGUUUUCUUAAGCUGGUUUUUCAUAUUUUUACUUCAAGUAAGUUCAAUUCUUGAUUAUUUCUUGAAAUUUUUGUGUUUUUAUGACUUUUACAACUAGGUCCACUUGUUGAAUUCAUUAGUUUUUGAUUCUAUGAAAGAAAUUGGAAGUUGUUAUGAAUAUGUGUUGGAAGUAUAUGAUGAUUUAGCAUGGAAUUAGAGUUUUAGAUUGUUUAUAUGCUGAUUUUAUUGAAAGAAUUGAAUAGAAAGUGAAUGUUUGGGACCUAAUGUUGAAAGAGUUUGAAGUUAGGGUUUUAUGUGGAAAUUAUGAAUUUAAAUAAUUGUGAAAUAACUUAUAAUGUUUAGGUAAAGCAUUAAUUGGGAAAAAUUAGCUUCAUUUAGGGAUUAAUUGAAAAAGGAUUGAAUUGUAUGAACUGUGAAAUUUGGGGUAAAAAUCGAAAUCAACAUUUGUACUAAAACAGUUUUGGACAGCAGCAGUAGUCUAACUUUGAAAAAUCACCAUAAAUUUUAUAAAUACAAUUAGAAGAUGAAAAAAAUAUGAAAUUAAAGCUUAUUGAGUCUAGUUUCUCAUAGAAGAAACGGUGUAAGCAACAGAAUUGUAGAUCAUGAGAUAUAUUAGAUUUUGUGAGACAAUGUCAGAAUGAUUUCGGGUUCCCCUGUUCUAACUUUGGAAAAUCAUAAAAAAUUGGAUAAAGUAAUUAUGAUCUUAAAUUUAUAUUUUUAAAAUCCUUAAUGAGUCUAUUUUCAAUAGAAACAAACAUGGACAUCAUCUGAAUUCUUUACAAAGAGAUAAUUAAUUUUUAGUGAAGAAGGGUCGGAAUUGUCAGACAACAGAACAGGGGUGACUUUAAAGAAUAAACUGUACUUAUUGGCUAAACCAAAAAUUCUAAAAACUUUAUUAUAAGAAGAUAUAUGAGUCUAGUUUUAGGUAAAAUUAGCGGAUCCUAAUUUGGAGUUCUGUAGCUAAAGAUAAAAAUAAUUUAGUGACUAUGGCACUCAUGGGCAGCAUUGGAAUAUACAUAAGUAAAUAAUGAAAUUAUAUAUAAUAUUACUUAUAAGCGGGUUGAAGAUGAAGUCAAUACUGAUAAGUGAAUGAUUUUACAAUGAUAGAUCGAGAACCCGAAGCAAGUCGAGGAAAAGAAAAAGUAGCUGAUUAGUCCCUGAACUUUCACAAAUUUUGCAAAUCGACCCAGGUAAGUUCAUGUGGUUGAAGUUUAAUGAUUAUAUGUUAAUUUUAUGAAUUAUAUAAUGUAAUAUGUAUGAUGAAAUAUAUUUAUUAAUAAAUAGAGAAUAAAAUAACAACACAAAAAUCGAAUAAAUGGUUAAAUUGAGCGGAAUGUCGGAUUUGAGUACUUCUGAUCAGUGACAAGUGAUAAGUGGUAGCCUCAGCUACACUUAUCUGAUCAGUGAUAAGUGACAAGCGACAAGCGACAAGUGAUAAGUGGUAGCUUUAGCUACAUUUAUCUGAUCAGUGACAAGUGAUAAGUGAUAAGUGGUAGUUUUAGCUACACUUAUCUGAUCAGUGACAAGUGAUAAAUGUGAUCAGUGUAAGACCGUGGUAGGACUAUGACUUCAAAAGGUGAUAAGUGAUCAUACGCAAGACCAUAGUUAUACUAUGGCAAAGUGAAAGUGAAGUACUCAAUUUUCCGUAACCAUUCCCUAAUUUGGUUAAAGAAUGAUAUGUGACAAAUGGGCCCAAAAGGAUUAAAGGAAAUGGAUAAGUAGUAGUAAGUUUAUACAAGGGAACUCACCAAUGGCUGUGGUUGACAGGUGAACUUAAUAAUUGUGUAUAUUGUAUAAGUGUAUAAAUAUUUGGUAAGAUUUAUGUUUUAUACCUAUGAACUUACUAAGCUUCUAUAAGCUUACAUGAGUGUAAUCAAUGUCUCUUGUAGAUUGACGUGGAAGUAUACGGAGGAUCGGAUCAACACAGAGGAUCACACUAUCCAGAUUAUCUCCGGUAGCUUUUGUAAAUUUCUUUUUGAUUUAUAUGGCAUGUAUAAGGUUUGAUGAUUAUAU